rnacentral:rRNA from 1 species
GACGAACGCUGGCGGCGUGCUUAACACAUGCAAGUCGAACGGAAAGGCCCCUUCGGGGGUACUCGAGUGGCGAACGGGUGCGUAACACGUGAGUAACCUGCCCUUGACUUCGGGAUAACUUCAGGAAACUGGGGCUAAUACCGGAUAGGAAUCCUUGCUGCAUGGUGGGGGUUGGAAAGCUUCGGCGGUUUUGGAUGGACUCGCGGCUUAUCAGCUUGUUGGUGGGGUAGUGGCUUACCAAGGCUUUGACGGGUAGCCGGCCUGAGAGGGCGACCGGCCACAUUGGGACUGAGAUACGGCCCAGACUCCUACGGGGGGCAGCAGUGGGGAAUAUUGCACAAUGGGCGGAAGCCUGAUGCAGCAACGCCGCGUGCGGGAUGACGGCCUUCGGGUUGUAAACCGCUUUCAGCAGGGGCGAAGCUUGUGGUGACGGUACCUGCAGAAGAAGCACCGGCUAACUACGUG